rnacentral:tRNA from 1 species
GGCUCGCUGGUAUAAGGGUAUGAUUCUCGCUUUGGGUGCGAGAGGUCGCGGGUUCAAAUCCCGGACGAGCCC